rnacentral:rRNA from 1 species
AUGCCACAGGAUGACAGAAUUGAUGGCUUUGAGAAUCUUCAGGUUUUGGACAUGGAUGGUUGCCAAUUAUCUGGAAAAAUACCUCUAUGGAUAUCAAGGGUCACGAAUUUGGAGAUGUUAAUUUUAAGAAGCAAUCAACUCAUUGGACUAAUACCAGGCUGGAUCAACUCCCUAAACCAUCUCUCCUUUAUGGAUGUGUCAAACAACAACCUUAUAGGAGAAAUUCCGUUGACCUUGACGGAGAUGCCAAUGCUAAAAUCAACUGAGAACUCAAGUCAUUUGGGCCCAAGGGUCUUUGAGCUGCCUCUUUAUAUUGAUCCAUCACUUCAAUACCUUGCAGAUACAUCUUUCCCACUAGUGUUGAAUCUAAGCAACAACAACUUCACAGGUGUGAUUCCCCCACAGAUUGGUCAGUUGAAAGUUCUUGUUGCACUUGAUUUCAGCUUCAACGAGCUAUCAGGACAGAUCCCAGGAUCAGUACGCAAUCUCACAAACCUGCAGGUCCUAGACUUGUCCAACAACAAUCUCACAGGUGCAAUCCCAGCUGCAUUGAACAGCUUGCACUUCCUUGCAGCGUUUAAUGUUUCUGGCAAUGACUUAGAAGGCCCUAUUCCAUCUGGAGGACAGUUCAACACAUUUGAGAGCUCUAGCUUUUAUGGGAAUACAAAACUCUGUGGGUCUAUGCUCAUUCACAAAUGUGGUUCAGCAGAAGCACCUCCAGCCAUUAUUCUGUCAAAAAAACAAACUGAUUACAAGGUGGCUUUCGUGACUGCCUUUAGUGCGUUCUUUGGUGUAGGGGUGUUGUAUGAUCAGACAGUCCUAUCGAGGUAUUUUGGCUAG